GGGGGCGUACUGGUUUCGACCUGACGCAGACGCCAGAGGCGGCAUGCCGAGGACGAUGCGUUGGCCUCGUUAAUCAUCGCAUCAAACAAAACCGCUAACGAAGAGUUGGCUCUCGCGGCCUAAACGUCCGCGAGCGUUCACCGGGGGACGCCUGCUACGCCGGAUGAACGCCACAGCAGGCAAGGACUGAAGCGGAGACGGCGCGUGACAGUCCGAGAUUAUGCCAUGCCGACUAAGCCACCGGAUUCGCGUCCGCAGGUUAUCCGGAGGCUGACACCCGCUGCGGACUAAGCAUGUAGGCGCGGCUGGUACCUGGGCCAGGGACGGGGGUUCGACUCCCCCCGCCUCCACCA
rnacentral:tmRNA from 2 species